rnacentral:rRNA from 1 species
AUUGAACGCUGGCGGCAUGCUUUACACAUGCAAGUCGAACGGUAACAGGCCUUCGGGUGCUGACGAGUGGCGAACGGGUGAGUAAUGCAUCGGAACGUACCCAGAGGUGGGGGAUAACGCAGCGAAAGCUGUGCUAAUACCGCAUGUGAUCUGAGGAUGAAAGCGGGGGACCGAGCAGCAAUGUUUGGCCUCGCGCCUUUGGAGCGGCCGAUGUCGGAUUAGCUAGUUGGUGGGGUAAAGGCCUACCAAGGCGACGAUCCGUAGCUGGUCUGAGAGGACGACCAGCCACACUGGGACUGAGACACGGCCCAGACUCCUACGGGAGGCAGCAGUGGGGAAUUUUGGCCAAUGGGCGCAAGCCUGAUCCAGCAAUGCCGCGUGCGGGAAGAAGGCCUUCGGGUUGUAAACCGCUUUUGGCAGGAACGAAACGGUGUCCGCUAAUACCGGGCGCUAAUGACGGUACCUUCAGAAUAAGCACCGGCUAACUACGUG